rnacentral:lncRNA from 14 species
UGAAUCAUCAAUCUGUCAAUCAAAUUAUUGUGACCAAUCACGAGGCGUGUUUUGGGCGGAUCACGCCCACGAGGAACUCCGCCCCCUUGAAGGCCUGUCAAUCAAACAGCGGAUGGCCACAGGCUGGGCUUGCGCCCAUUGGCUGUCUAUGAUGUCAAUCAGAGCUCUUCACUACUAUUGGUUUUCCGCUGCCGUCCGUCACCUCAGAGCUCCGCGCCCAUUGGCGGAGCCAUCCCUCCAUCACGCGCCUUACUGCUCGGCGCAGCUGCCCAUCAACUUUUCCCCCUCCUCGGAUUGGCCGCCGCUCCAUCAUCUCACCGCCCAUUGGCCAGAUCGCAAAACAGCCGGGCGGCGAUUGGCCCAAACCCCCUCUGUGGGCGGGCGCAGCAGGGCGGUGCCCGGCGGAGGAAGAUGGCGCCGUGAGCGGGUCGGAGCCGCCGCCGCCCCCGGCCGCCCGAGGGACAGCGCAGCAUGGCUGCCACGGCUGCUGUCAGCCCCAGCGAGUACCUGCAGCCCGCCAGCGGCAGCGCACAGGUGAGCCCAGCCCUGCCCAGGUGUGCCCAGCCCUGUUUGGGGGGAGCCUAGCCCCUGCCCAGGUGAGCCCAGGUGAGCCCAGCCCCUGCCCAGGUGAGCCCAGCCCCUGCCCAGGUGUGCCCAGGUGUGCCCAGCCCCUGCCCAGGUGAGCCCAGCCCCUGCCCAGGUGAGCCCAGCCCCUGCACAGGUGUGCCCAGCCCCGCCCAGGUGUGCCCAGCCCUGUUUGGGGGGAGCCUAGCCCCUGCCCAGGUGAGCCCAGCCCCUGCCCAGGUGAGCCCAGCCCUGCCCAGGUGUGCCCAGCCCUGUUUGGGGGGAGCCUAGCCCCUGCCCAGGUGAGCCCAGGUGAGCCCAGCCCCUGCCCAGGUGUGCCCAGGUGAGCCCAGGUGAGCCCAGCCCCUGCCCAGGUGUGCCCAGGUGUGCCCAGGUGAGCCCAGCCCCUGCACAGGUGUGCCCAGGUGUGCCCAGCCCCUGCCCAGGUGUGCCCAGGUGAGCCCAGCCCCUGCCCAG